CCCGCUGAACUUAAGCAUAUCAAUAAGCGGAGGAAAAGAAACCAACAGGGAUUGCCUCAGUAACGGCGAGUGAAGCGGCAAUAGCUCAAAUUUGAAAUCUGGCCUCUGGCCCGAAUUGUAAUUUGUAGAGGAUGCUUCGAGGAUGGUCCAGUCUAAGUUCCUUGGAACAGGACGUCAUAGAGGGUGAGAAUCCCGUAUGCGACUGGGUGCCUAAGCUCAUGUGAAGCUCCUUCGACGAGUCGAGUUGUUUGGGAAUGCAGCUCAAAAUGGGUGGUAAAUUUCAUCUAAAGCUAAAUACUGGCCAGAGACCGAUAGCGCACAAGUAGAGUGAUCGAAAGAUGAAAAGCACUUUGGAAAGAGAGUUAAACAGUACGUGAAAUUGUUGAAAGGGAAGCGCUUGCAACUAGACUUGCAUGCAGUCGAUCAUCCGAUGUUCUCACCGGUGCACUCGAUUGCAUUCAGGCCAGCAUCGGUUUCGGUGGUUAGAUAAAGGCCUUGGGAAUGUAGCUUCUCUCGGGGAGUGUUAUAGCCCAAGGUGCAAUGUAGCCUACCGGGACCGAGGACCGCGCUUCGGCUAGGAUGCUGGCGUAAUGGUUGUAAGCGACCCGUCUUGAAACACGG
rnacentral:rRNA from 1 species